rnacentral:rRNA from 1 species
AGAGUUUGAUCCUGGCUCAGGACGAACGCUGGCGGCGUGCCUAAUACAUGCAAGUCGAGCGGACUGGAGGGAGCUUGCUCCCAAAGGUUAGCGGCGGACGGGUGAGUAACACGUGGGCAACCUGCCCGACAGACCGGGAUAACGCUUGGAAACGAGUGCUAAUACCGGAUAGGCUUUUCCUUCGCAUGAAGGAAAAGAGAAAGAAGCUUUCGCUUCACUGUCGGAUGGGCCCGCGGCGCAUUAGCUAGUUGGUGAGGUAACGGCUCACCAAGGCGACGAUGCGUAGCCGACCUGAGAGGGUGACCGGCCACACUGGGACUGAGACACGGCCCAGACUCCUACGGGAGGCAGCAGUAGGGAAUCUUCCACAAUGGGCGCAAGCCUGAUGGAGCAACGCCGCGUGAAUGAUGAAGGCCUUCGGGUUGUAAAAUUCUGUCUUCUGUGAAGAACAAGUGUGAGAAGAGAA